UGACUCUGACAACUGGGUACAUAAAUGGGAACAUGAACGUUGCGUGAUCACUGAUACUUCUUACUUGCUGAGGCAUUGGCUGAAAUAAAGCAUAUUUUGAGGAGACAACGAGGCUUCCCAGCAGCCAUGGCGCAUUGUUUUAGCCUGACACUUCUUGUCAUAUUCCUCCUGAGCGUUGGUCUUGUUGUCCCUAAAAAAGUUGAAGAAGAGGGCAGUUACGCUCGAAUGGAAACCGCAAAGCUGAAAAAUGUACAGGGUUGGCUUCUCUACCGCAAUUUUGCACCUGCUAACCGGGAGGCAUCUAAGUACCUCCGUUUUAAGGAAUACCCUCUACGCAGAAGCGAGGUUCAAGAGACGGCUGAGAUGCGGGCACUAAAGAGGUCACGUGCUUCAAGCUAAAUAUGGAAUCACGCCGGAGCACAACGCAGAGUAAUAAAUGUAUUGACUUGUACUUGAUUUCGAGUAUUAAUACUCAAAUACAGGACACGAUGUACAUUGCAAUAUCUUUGCUGCUCCAUUUAACCCUUGAUCCUUCAAUUGCAUUAGACAUUAGUCGGAUUCUUAAAACAUAUUUAAAUUUAUUUUUAUUCCAUUAUUAUUUAAUUGUAUUUCCUGAUAUAAGGAAAGUUUGCCUUAGUUUUAGGAACAUAAUAUCUUAACUGCGUAAAUUUGGAGUUCUUUGUGAAGAUCUCUAUUAUUAAACUUGGUUUUGAUUUCGGUGUAUGGACCCCAAACUUGCCAUUUCUGUCAAGAGUUGGGAGCUGACAUUUAACAGGCAUGAUAACUCAUUUUUAGCCAAAAGUCUCACUGGUUUAGGUUCGAGAACGCAAAUCAUGUAAUUUCUAACGAGGGUUUCGAUUAACAUUAAACAGGCCAGAGAAUAAUUGCGUCAAUCAAUCUGAUUUGAAGGCAAAUGCUCAAUUAAAAAACAUUUUAAAAACUAAUUGGACAUGCACACCUGCUGUGAUGCAUAUUUAUUAGUAAGUGUUUAUUGCAAUCAAAAUGUAACUCACGCUGUAAAGUCAAAUGCUAGCAACCUCCGUAUGGAAUUGCUAUUCAUUGUCACACUAAAGUAUGACUUUAAAAAUCA